AUGAACACCCGCGACCUCCUCUUCUCCGGCCUCGACCUCGUCAAGCAACAGGCGAGCGCCGUGGCCUCCACCGUCUCGUUGGCCAAGCCGUACCUCCCCGCAAAGCUAACCGAGAUGAACACCGGCAACAUCGUCGCGGGUCUCGGCUACGUCAAGAACCAUACAGGAGCGGCCGUGGCCUCCACCGUCUCAUUGGCCAAUCAGUACCUGCCCGCAAGGCUUACCGGGAUGAACACCGGCGACAUCGUCGCAGGUCUCAGCUACGUCAAGAACCAUACAGCGGCCAUGGUCUCGACGCGCGACGGCGCCGUGGGGACCGCGGCGAUGGUCAUCGGGGGCGCCGUGGGCGCCUACUUCCUCUGGCCCGCUGCGGCCGCCCCCGCCGCGGCCGGCGCCAUGAUGAAGGCGCCUAGUGCCGCCGGCUUCCUCAUCUCCCGCACGGCGUUUGUGGCUAACCCGCAGGUCUACUACCAGAUCCUCCGCACCGCUGGCGCCGCGGCGGCCGCCGCCGCAUUCGUGUAG
rnacentral:rRNA from 1 species